rnacentral:lncRNA from 1 species
UGACUGUAGUGACGCACACCAGCAAUUUUGCGUGAUCUAUCGCAUGGUGCUUUCUUCACCAACGAAGUGAUUGGUUGCAAAGAAGAUGCUCUUGCAUUGCAAUAAGUACCCACAAAAUACUGCUUUGCAAUGCAGCAAUAAAAGACUUAG